AAUACAUAGCUUAAUGAGGGGAACUCAGGGAACUGAAACAUCUAAGUACCUGAAGGAAGAGAAAGAAAUUCGAUUCCGUAAGUAGCGGCGAGCGAACGCGGAUUAGCCCAAACCAAUAAAGUUUUCUUUAUUGGGGUUGCGGACAUAUCAUAACGAAGAGGUAUCGUAAUUGAAGAGGUUUGGAAAGACCCACCACAGAAGGUAAUAGUCCUGUAUGUUAAACGAGAAGACUUUAGAUAUGAUCCAGAGUACCACGGGACACGUGAAACCCUGUGGGAAGCAGGAGGGACCACCCUCCAAGGCUAAAUACUACCUAGUGACCGAUAGCGUAUAGUACCGUGAGGGAAAGGUGAAAAGAACCCCGGGAGGGGAGUGAAAUAGAACCUGAAACCCUGCACUUACAAGCUGUGGAAGCACAUUUCUUGUGUGACCGCGUACUUUUUGUAGAACGGGCCAACGAGUUACGUUAAGUAGCAAGGUUAAGCACUUAAGGUGUGGAGCCGUAGCGAAAGCGAGUUUUAACUGAGCGUUCAGUUACUUGACGUAGACCCGAAACCGGGCGACCUACCCAUGAGCAGGAUGAAGCGAAAGUAAAAUUUCGAGGAGGUCCGAACCCACGAGCG
rnacentral:rRNA from 1 species